UAACUAUUGCCUCCGUCCGGAAAUACUUGUCGGAGGGUUAGAUGUAUCUAUACGUAAUUUAGUUUUAGAUACAUCCAUUUUUAUCCAUUUCUCUGACAAGUAUUUUCGGACAGAGUAUUUA
rfam:Triticum aestivum genome assembly, contig: Triticum_aestivum_CS42_TGACv1_scaffold_271542_3DS